GAUGAACGCUGGCGGCGUGCUUAACACAUGCAAGUCGAACGGAAAGGCUCCUGCUUGCAGGGGUACUCGAGUGGCGAACGGGUGAGUAACACGUGGGUGAUCUGCCCUGCACUUCGGGAUAAGCCUGGGAAACUGGGUCUAAUACCGGAUAGGACGAGGGCUUGGAUUCCAUUGUGGAAAGUUUUUGCGGUGUGGGGUGGGCUCGCGGCGUAUCAGCUUGUUGGUGGGGUAAUGGCCUACCAAGACGUCGACGGGUAGCCGGCCUGGGAGGGUGUACGGCCACAUUGGGACUGAGAUACGGACCAGACUCCUACGGGAGGCAGCAGUGGGGAAUAUUGCACAAUGGGAGCAAGCGUGAUGCAGCGACGCCGCGUGGGGGAUGACGGCCUUCGGGUUGUAAACUCCUUUCGCUAGGGACGAAGCGCAAGUGACGGUACCUGGAGAAGAAGCACCGGCUAACUACGUG
rnacentral:rRNA from 1 species